UCGUCGGUAUCCGGGCCCGCGACCGUCCGACGGCGUACCGGGCCGAUAUUCGCUUCAGUUCUCUCGAUCGUGCCGUGUGUCGUUUCAUUCGGUCGCGGUUUUCGCGCCAAUCCGUCACGUCGGUUCACGAAAAACAAGAAAACCAUUAAAUUCGUAAUAUCGUCGCGGUUUUUUUUUUUCUUUUUUUUUAAAAAACACUCUUGUUCGUCGAUCGGUUUUAUAUUUAUUUAUUUAUUUAUUUAUUAUUUU